UCCUCGAUCUGCUGCGGGCAGAUGAAAUGGAUGUGGGUGUCGACGCCGCCGGCGGUGACGAGCAUCCCUUCGCCGGCGAUGAUCUCGGUGCCGGCGCCGAUGAUGAUCGUGACCCCGGACUGGAUGUCGGGGUUGCCCGCCUUACCUAUUGCCGCAAUGCGGCCGUCCUUGAGUCCGAUGUCGGCCUUGACGAUCCCCCAGUGAUCCACGAUCAGGGCAUUGGUGAUCACCGUAUCGGCGACCUCCGCCCCGAGCCGCUGGCUUUGCCCCAUGCCGUCCCGGA
rnacentral:sRNA from 1 species